rnacentral:ncRNA from 20 species
UUGUAGCAUUAUGUUUCCGGUCUCCUGUGAGUGAAAAGGGAAUCCAGUGCAAAUCUGGAGCUGACGCGCAGCGGUAAAGACGGUGGGAUGAGUGCCAGGUAGCAGACACUGCUUAAUAAAGCGGGAAGUCAUCAUCCUUUAUUCUCGAUAUCACGAGAUCACCCCUAAGCCCGAAGACCUGCCGGAAUUACGUCGCAUCAG